rnacentral:sRNA from 1 species
UUGUGUGUGAGGAGUAAGUUUGAAGUAAAAAGCGUUUGGAGUGGCAACGUGGUAACACUCCAAACGCUUUUUUGA